ensembl:lncRNA
CAAAGAGGUUUGGUGACCUGUCCAAGAUCAGCAUCUGAAACAGAACUUGAACUCAGGUCUACCCAUACUAUUUAGCUCUCUCUAGCUGCUAUAAGGAGAAAGAAGAUGAAUGAUGACCCAGCAAAGGAAAUCAAGAAAGAGCAGUCAGAAAGAUCUGGAAGAAUUAGAAAACUUCCAAUUUUCCAAAUAGAAACUAAGCUCCCUUAACGAAUGGAAAGUGAAACCUACAACCUUCCAGAAAGAUCUCAAGAGUCUGUCACUGGGCUGUAAACUGUUGAGAAAGCAUCACCCAGGACAAAGGCUUUUUAUAUCAGGGAUACCGGUGCAACCAAGAUGGUACAAAGAUGAAGAAAAGACUCAGGGUGCUCUAUCUGCCAUCUCUGGAUCUUUGCACUAUCACCAAGGCCUGGAAUUCUCUCCCUCCUCACCUCUGUGCCUUGGAAUCCCUCCUCUCAAGGAGCUUUGGACUCAUUGAGCCCUGAGGGCUUUUUUUUUUCACCUAAAGAACAAGCUUGAACAUGCAGGACCCUUAAGAAGAAGAAGAACCUCUAGUUUCUGCUCUACUUUGCAAUCACUUAAAACGCUUUCCCACCAAUGUCUGAGUUAGAGACCACUGACCCUUUGGCCACCUGGCUACAGGACCCUCUCCUAGGUGCCAAAUGCUCCAAUUACUGAACAGAAGUCCUGUUUGCUCUACCUAUGGCAUGCUUCAGAAACUGGAUAUUGGCUCAGCAGGGUGAAGAAUUAGAAUAGAGUCAUGUGCGGGGCAAACUUUGGCACUCAGAGUUUCCCAGAUGUCCACCAAGGUCACAAGGAGCAGGCUCCAAUCUCUGAGAGGGCAGACCCAAAGUAAAUCAGGAGAUCAUUUAGAUUCUCUCUACUUUUCCCCUCCAUCCUCUUUUGCCCUACUCAACACAUAGCAAUGUUCAUAAAUGCCAAAGAAUUCCAGUGCUUGAAUAUCUCCAGAAGUGGAGGUCACAGAUAAUAACUUGCUUCUCCAUCAGUUAUCACCUGGAGCCCCUAAAAGCUAAGCAGUAUCCUGAGCUUGUGUCAGAGAGCAAGAAAUCAAACAGCGUGCAUUUAUUAAAUGCCUACUGUGAACCUGUUGCAUAUGCAGCAAUCACAGGUGAAACUGGGCAGAGAGGCUAGACUAGGCUGAGACUAACCAACAGAUCUCAAACCCAUUGGUAACUUAGAGGGGUGUCUACCCCAGGCAUGUCAUGUGAAGACUUCCCCCAGGCAAAAUGAAUGGAGAACAAUUUGUCUCAAUGACUGUGAAGGUGGUUGAAACAGGGGAAACCUGAGGACUUAGUCAAAUAUCAAAGAAACUAAUGUUAUCCACUGCAUGCAGUCAUCCUGCCACUGAACUUCACUGACUCUGGGAGAGAGUGAAGCUGAUGACUUUGUGCAUCCUUGCCUCACUUCAAUCCAAUUCAUGCACAAGUCAAGACACUACCCCAUGAUAUCACUGGUCU